GGGGCUGAAUGGGGUACUGGUGUCCCCCUCGGUCUUCAAAACCGCAUGUGAGGCGCGUGCCGUCUCAGGUGGGUUCGAUUCCCACGCAGUCCCGCCA
rnacentral:tRNA from 2 species